rnacentral:rRNA from 1 species
UGAAUACGAAAUGCUACGGCAUUGAAGUGAUCUAUGCCAGGCUUCCAAGAAAAUCUCGUCAUAUCUUAAGCAGUAGAUGCCUGUACCUUAAACCGACACAGGUAGGUAGGUAGAGUAUACCAAGGGGCGCGAUAUAACUCUCUCUAAGGAACUCGGCAAAAUAACCUCGUAACUUCGGAAGAAGAGGUACCCUUGAAAAAGGGUUGCAAUAUCCAGACCCUGGCGACUGUUUACCAAAAACACAGGUCUCCGCUAAUUCGUAAGAUCAAGUAUGGAGGCUGACGCCUGCCCAGUGCCGGAAGGUUAAAGAAGUUGGUCAAUCUUUGGAUGAAGCUGGCGACUGAAGCCCCGGUGAACGGCGGCCGUAACUAUAACGGUCCUAAGGUAGCGAAGUUCCUUGUCGGGUAAGUUCCGACCCGCACGAAAGGCGUAACGAUCAGGGUGCUGUCUCGGAGAGAGACUCGGCGAAAUAGACAUGUCUGUGAAGAUGCGGACUACCUGCACCUGGACAGAAAGACCCUAUGAAGCUUUACUGUAUCUUGGAAUUGGGUUUGGGCCUUGCUUGCGCAGGAUAGGUGGGAGGCUGUGAAGAUAUUCUUGCGGGAAUGUUGGAGCCAACGGUGAGAUACCACUCUAGUAAGGCUAAAAUUCUAACUCUGAACCGUUAUCCGGUCAGAGAACAGUUUCAGGUGGGCAGUUUGACUGGGGCGGUCGCCUCCUAAAAGGUAACGGAGGCGCGCAAAGGCUCCCUCAGGCUGGUUGGACAUCAGUCGUAGAGUGUAAAGGCAUAAUGGAGCUUGACUGCGAGACCCACAAGUCGUCAGAGACGAAAGUCGGCCUUAGUGAUCCGACGGUUCCACGUGGAAGGGCCGUCGCUCAACGGAUAAAAGUUACUCUAGGAUAACAGGCUGAUCUCCCCCAGGAGUUCACAUCGACGGGGAGGUUUGGCACCUCGAUGUCGGCUCAUCGCAUCCUGGGGCGGUAGUACGUCCCAAGGGUUGGGCUGUUCGCCCAUGAAAGCGGUACGCGAGCUGGGUUCAGAACGUCGUGUGACAGUUCGGUCCAUAUCCGGUGCAGGCGUUAGAGCAUUGAGAGGAGUCCCCCUUAGUACGAGAGGACCGGGGGGAAUACACCGCUGGUGUACCAGUUAUCGUGCCAACGGUAAACGCUGGGUAGCCAUGUGUAGCGCGGAUAACUGCUGAAAGCAUCUAAGUAGGAAGCCCACCUUAAGAUGAGUGCUCUCACCGCUAUAAGCGGGUAAGGUCACGGUAAGAACAACCGUUAUAUAGGCAUUAAGUAUACGUGCAGUAAUGCAUUUAGCUGAGAUGUACUAACAGACCGAGGGCUUGAUAU